rnacentral:antisense_RNA from 1 species
UUUGUUUUCAAGAAAUUAUGAACAACCCUUUGAAUAUCUUCCUUUGUUAUAGAAUCGAUAGCG